rnacentral:rRNA from 1 species
UGCAUCAUCGACCGAUCCUGAUGUCUUCGGAUGGAUUUGAGUAAGAGCAUAACUGUUCGGACCCGAAAGAUGGUGAACUAUGCGUGGAUAGGGUGAAGCCAGAGGAAACUCUGGUGGAGGCUCGCAGCGGUUCUGACGUGCAAAUCGAUCGUCAAAUCUGCGCAUGGGGGCGAAAGACUUAUCGAACCAUCUAGUAGCUGGUUACCGCCGAAGUUUCCCUCAGGAUAGCAGUGUUGUUCUUCAGUUUUAUGAGGUAAAGCGAAUGAUUAGGGACUCGGGGGCGCUUUUUAGCCUUCAUCCAUUCUCAAACUUUAAAUAUGUAAGAAGCCCUUGUUACUUAAUUGAACGUGGGCAUUCGAAUGUACCAACACUAGUGGGCCAUUUUUGGUAAGCAGAACUGGCGAUGCGGGAUGAACCGAACGCGGGGUUAAGGUGCCGGAGUGGACGCUCAUCAGACACCACAAAAGGUGUUAGCACAUUUAGACAAUAGGACGGUGGCCAUGGAAGUCGGAAUCCGCUAAGGACUGUGUAACAACUCACCUAUCGAAUGUGCUAGCCCUGAAAMUGGAUGGCGCUCAAGCGUCCCACCCAUACCUCGCCCUCCAGGGUAGAAACGAUGCCCUGAGGAGU